AGAGCGAACGCUGGCGGCAGGCCUAACACAUGCAAGUCGAACGGACUCUUCGGAGUUAGUGGCGGACGGGUGAGUAACAUGUGGGAACGUGCCUUUAGGUUCGGAAUAGCUCCUGGAAACGGGUGGUAAUACCGAAUGUGCCCUUCGGGGGAAAGAUUUAUCGCCUUUAGAGCGGCCCGCGUCUGAUUAGCUUGUUGGUGAGGUAAUGGCUCACCAAGGCUACGAUCAGUAGCUGGUCUGAGAGGAUGACCAGCCACAUUGGGACUGAGACACGGCCCAAACUCCUACGGGAGGCAGCAGUGGGAAUCUUGCGCAAUGGGCGAAAGCCUAGACGCAGCCAUGCCGCGUGUAUGAUGAAGGUCUUAGGAUUAGUAAAAUACUUUCACCGGUAGAAGAUAAUGACUGUACGACCGGAAGAAGAACGCCCCGGACUAACCGUUCGCGCCAGCAGCCGC
rnacentral:rRNA from 1 species